CUGCCUAAGUUCAACCCCAACAAGAUUAAUGUUGCAAACCUUAGGUGUACCGAUGGGGAAGUCAGUGCCAUUUCUGCCCCGGCUCCUAAGAUCAAGCCCCUGAGUCCAUCUCCAAAAAUGGCUGGCAAUGACAUCACCAAGUUAAUGGGUGACUAGAAGGGUUUCAGGAUUACAGUGACAUUGACCCUUCAGAAUAGACAGACUCAGGUUGAACUGGGACCUUUUGCCUCUGUCCUGAUGUUACAGGCCCUCAAGGAACCUCCAAGAGAUAGAAACAAAAAUAUUAAACACAGUGGAAAUGUCACUUUUGAUGAGAUAAUCAACAUUGCCCAACAGGUGUGGCACCAGUCUUUGGCCAGAACCAUUAAAGAGAUCUUGGGGAUUGCCCAGGCUGUGGGCUGCAAUGUUGAUUGUCACCCGCCCUCAUGACAUCAUAGAUGACAUCAACAAUGGUGCAGCAGAAUGUUCCACUAGUUAA
rnacentral:lncRNA from 1 species